rnacentral:rRNA from 1 species
GCAAGUCGAACGGUAACAGGAAGCAGCUUGCUGCUUCGCUGACGAGUGGCGGACGGGUGAGUAAUGUCUGGGAAGCUGCCUGAUGGAGGGGGAUAACUACUGGAAACGGUAGCUAAUACCGCAUAAUGUCGCAAGACCAAAGAGGGGGACCUUCGGGCCUCUUGCCAUCGGAUGUGCCCAGAUGGGAUUAGCUUGUUGGUGGGGUAACGGCUCACCAAGGCGACGAUCCCUAGCUGGUCUGAGAGGAUGACCAGCCACACUGGAACUGAGACACGGUCCAGACUCCUACGGGAGGCAGCGGUGGGGAAUAUUGCACAAUGGGCGCAAGCCUGAUGCAGCCAUGCCGCGUGUAUGAAGAAGGCCUUCGGGUUGUAAAGUACUUUCAGCGGGGAGGAAGGGAGUAAAGUUAAUACCUUUGCUCAUUGACGUUACCCGCAGAAGAAGCACCGGCUAACUCCGUGCCAGCAGCCGCGGUAAUACGGAGGGUGCAAGCGUUAAUCGGAAUUACUGGGCGUAAAGCGCACGCAGGCGGUUUGUUAAGUCAGAUGUGAAAUCCCCGGGCUCAACCUGGGAACUGCAUCUGAUACUGGCAAGCUUGAGUCUCGUAGAGGGGGGUAGAAUUCCAGGUGUAGCGGUGAAAUGCGUAGAGAUCUGGAGGAAUACCGGUGGCGAAGGCGGCCCCCUGGACGAAGACUGACGCUCAGGUGCGAAAGCGUGGGGAGCAAACAGGAUUAGAUACCCUGGUAGUCCACGCCGUAAACGAUGUCGACUUGGAGGUUGUGCCCUUGAGGCGUGGCUUCCGGAGCUAACGCGUUAAGUCGACCGCCUGGGGAGUACGGCCGCAAGGUUAAAACUCAAAUGAAUUGACGGGGGCCCGCACAAGCGGUGGAGCAUGUGGUUUAAUUCGAUGCAACGCGAAGAACCUUACCUGGUCUUGACAUCCACGGAAGUUUUCAGAGAUGAGAAUGUGCCUUCGGGAACCGUGAGACAGGUGCUGCAUGGCUGUCGUCAGCUCGUGUUGUGAAAUGUUGGGUUAAGUCCCGCAACGAGCGCAACCCUUAUCCUUUGUUGCCAGCGGUCCGGCCGGGAACUCAAAGGAGACUGCCAGUGAUAAACUGGAGGAAGGUGGGGAUGACGUCAAGUCAUCAUGGCCCUUACGACCAGGGCUACACACGUGCUACAAUGGCGCAUACAAAGAGAAGCGACCUCGCGAGAGCAAGCGGACCUCAUAAAGUGCGUCGUAGUCCGGAUUGGAGUCUGCAACUCGACUCCAUGAAGUCGGAAUCGCUAGUAAUCGUGGAUCAGAAUGCCACGGUGAAUACGUUCCCGGGCCUUGUACACACCGCCCGUCACACCAUGGGAGUGGGUUGCAAAAGAAGUAGGUAGCUUAACCUUCGGGAGGGCGCUUACCACUUUGUGAUU